rnacentral:ncRNA from 1 species
GCAAAGAUAAAAACACAACGUAAGGGUAUCACAGACUCUUACAGAACCGGUAGGUAGUCCGGUCACACCAUUUUGGUGUAAGUAGCCCUCCCUCCUUUGGGUCGUCCGUUCUUUGUCCAAA